AACUUUCAGCGACGGAUGGCUUGGCUCCCUCAUCGAUGAAAAACGCAACGAAAUGCGAUACGUAAUGCGAAUUGCAGAAUCCAGUGAAUCAUCCAAACUUUGAACGCAUCUUGCGCUUCCGGGAUAUUCCUGGGAGCAUGUGU
rnacentral:rRNA from 1 species